UGGGGAAUAUUGGACAAUGGGCGAAAGCCUGAUCCAGCCAUGCCGCGUGAGUGACGAAGGUCUUCGGAUUGUAAAGCUCUUUUGGCGGGGACGAUAAUGACGGUACCCGCAGAAUAAGCCCCGGCUAACUUCGUGCCAGCAGCCGCGGUAAUACGAAGGGGGCUAGCGUUGUUCGGAAUUACUGGGCGUAAAGCGCACGUAGGCGGAUUUGUUAGUCAGGGGUGAAAUCCCGGGGCUCAACCUCGGAACUGCCUUUGAUACUGCAAGUCUCGAGUCCGGAAGAGGUGAGUGGAAUUCCUAGUGUAGAGGUGAAAUUCGUAGAUAUUAGGAAGAACACCAGUGGCGAAGGCGGCUCACUGGUCCGGUACUGACGCUGAGGUGCGAAAGCGUGGGGAGCAA
rnacentral:rRNA from 1 species